UACGUAGGGUGCAAGCGUUAAUCGGAAUUACUGGGCGUAAAGCGUGCGCAGGCGGUUAUGUAAGUCAGGUGUGAAAUGCCCGGGCUUAACCUGGGAACUGCAUUUGUGACUGCAUGGCUAGAGUUUGGCAGAGGGGGGUAGAAUUCCACGUGUAGCAGUGAAAUGCGUAGAUAUGUGGAGGAACACCGAUGGCGAAGGCAGCCCCCUGGGUCAAGACUGACGCUCAUGCACGAAAGCGUGGGGAGCAAACAGG
rnacentral:rRNA from 1 species